UACAGAGGUCCCAAGCGGUGUUCGGAUUCACUGGGCGUAAAGGGUGCGUAGGUGGUGAGGUAAGUCGGAUGUGAAAUCUCGGAGCUCAACUCCGAAACUGCAUUGGAAACUACCUCGCUCGAGGGUUGGAGGGGGGACUGGAAUACUUGGUGUAGCAGUGAAAUGCGUAGAUAUCAAGUGGAACACCAGUGGCGAAGGCGAGUCCCUGGACAACUCCUGACACUGAGGCACGAAAGCUAGGGGAGCAACCAGG
rnacentral:rRNA from 1 species